GUAUUAACUUUUGUUACCCCGUGGGGCGGUUUACAUGCGUUAUAAGACAGGCUGUGGUGUAUCUGGGCAGCGAACACCCCGAUCCGACGCUGAAGCGCGCCGGACUUUUAGCCGAAGGAGGGCGCUCGCCUAGGACAAUGAGCCCCCGAUCCGACGCUGAACGUGCCGGACUUUUAGCCAAAGGAGGGCGCUCAUGCCUAAAGGUGCACAGGUGUGAAUGUAGUGUCGGGGGCGCAGCACAUGGCCUAAGGACCCAGCAUCAAACCCCACCCACAUUUGACUACGUUAAUGAUCCUUCCGCAGGUUCACCUACGGAAA
rnacentral:misc_RNA from 1 species